rnacentral:rRNA from 1 species
UAGGGAAUUUUCGGCAAUGGGGGGAACCCUGACCGAGCAAUGCCGCGUGAGUGAAGAAGGAUUUCGGUUCGUAAAGCUCUGUUGUAAGAGAAAAAUGUUAGAGACAGGAAAUGGUCUGUGAGUGAUGGUAUCUUACCAGAAAGCCACGGCUAACUAC